rnacentral:lncRNA from 1 species
AAAUUAACACAACUCUGUUCAUCCUUCCCUUCCCAUUUGUGCAGGGCAACAUCUGAAGGACACUUUUACCUCCAGAUGUCAGGACAUGUGGGAGAGGGAGCAGACUCAGAGCUUGUGUGUCCUCUGUGGGAUGUAAGCAGAAACAGUACCUAGACAGGAAAGUGUUUGAAUGUUAAUGAUAGGACAGUGCUAAAAAACACUUUAGAAACACUUCCCUGCUUUUUUUUGCUGGGGAAAUCUCAAUUUGUUGGCUGCCACUGGCUUUUUGCCCAGCAUUGUCAGAUCUGCUGGUGAAGGGAGACGGCAGAGCACGUUUGUCCUAUUCCUCUUCCCCAGAGUGAGAUGCCAGACUGGAGCAGAUAUGCUGCUGUUCCUAAGGACACACUGCAGUGGAUACUACAGUCUGUUCAACCCUUUCCUACACCUGCCUGGAUAUAUUCAGUAGCCCAGGGCAGGGCUGAGUUACACCUGGCUCACUAGCAGCCCCUGGAAGCAGAGCUAAGUGCUGUGAGAAUCUCCACAAAUCCAUUGGGAUGCUCCUGGAGCAGUGGUGUUAGUCUCCCUAUCCCUAGGAUACUCACAGCCCCAGGCAUGCACUGUCCCUGCAUCACAGCACUGCCCUGGGUGGACUUCAGCAAUGUCCAGGAGCUUCUUGUGGGAGAAGGGAUUAGUGUUGAGCACCCUUGGUUAAAAUUUGGCUUUUCACCUUGAUGUGAAUUGUUCCUGCUCCUUUUCCACAGGAGUGGCUGAAUUUCUGUAGCAUGGUCUAUAAAGCAUUUAGGACGGAAAGUCUAUAGAAGUGUGAUACUAAUAAUAUUUUACAGCUUUAAUUACCAUGAUUGUAGUGCCUAGAGGCGUAUGCAAAAACAUUUUGAGUGGGUGGAGGGGAGGCAGUGCUGUGAACAUUUUUGUGGUUUUGCUGGGCAAUGCGCAAUGGAGUUUUCUCAUGGGAACCACAGCAUGCCAGGGAGAAGAGCUGCCUCUGCCUCCUCAUCUGCCCUGCUGGGAUACUGGGAUCUUUGGGAUCACACCCCAAAGAUAGACAGCCCCAGUCACUCCAGUUCUGGGGACAAGCUGUGCUGACCGACACUGCUCUGCAGAGGGGCUCUGGGGCAGGUGCUGCCCGUUCCUCCAGGCUCUUUUCCCCCAGGCAUCAUCCCUUUUGUGCAGCCAGCUUCACCCGCGGGGUGAUUUCGGAUUGGGCAAGCGCUGAUUUGGGGCCGGGCCCUGCCAGCAGGCUGGGGAGCGCGCAGACAGAGCUCCCGCCGGCCGCCCACCCGAGGAGCCGUGCCUGCGUGGGCACGCCGGGGACACACAGAGGGCUCCUGUGUGACACCCACCCGCGCCCUGCCCCGCUGCCAGCGCGCCCAGCACCGCCGGGAAACUGGGAAAUAGCCCGUGCAAGUUCUGAGAGCUUGCGUGGUACAAAAGGAAAAGGUUUUA